AUUGUAGCACAGUGAACAGUGUGUUAGACUUCUAUUCCAAAGGUGGUGGUUUCGAUCCCAACCAGAGGUG